rnacentral:misc_RNA from 1 species
AUCUAUCUGAAUCAGUCAGCUUACUGAGCUUAAAAGAGGAUGAAAGCAAGCAGAUGAACAGAGCAAAAAAAACAAAAUAAUUUAUCAAUUUAGCCAAGGAUAGACUAAGAUGGUAGGUAGCAGUUGGUUUAGUUUAGCUCCACAGAAUUCCUACCAAAAAGAUGUGAGCUGUUUUGUGAGGGGGAGUAAUGGCCAUUUUCUUCUGCAAAAUGUGACCAAUUAGAGUCCGAUACAUCAUACAGAACUGGAGACACACCUGGCGGAUAUCAAAAUCAAUGGCUCCAAUGAAGAGCCCUGCACGCAGCAACUGGUGGAGGAUGACUCAAUACUCUAAUGCCUUCUUGCAUAGUCCAAAAGUUAACAUUGCAUCGCUUCAGCAGCUCUGAAGCUCUUCCUAAAAGCUCACCAACAUCAAUCAAGUUCAACUCCCAAGGAGUUAACACAGUUGUGAGUUGGAAUAAUACAUCAUUUGGAGAAGGAGUUUAAUAACUCCAUUGGAGAACUAUAAAAUAUUUUAAGAAGGCGAAAAGAAAUCUUUGACUUUGGACUUUGUAUUAUCCAGAGAUGUGAUGGAAGAAAUAUCAUUCGCCAAUGUCACCAUUUCUGGAGACGAUGCAGGUUGUCUUAACCCUGCAUACUGAGGUGCACCCUAAAAUCAGAAUGAAUUUUUCCGACCAUGUUGGAGGGUACGACAUUACCAGUUUUAACAAUAUUUCCUCCCCAUCAGUGAAUUCCACGGCCAUCGAUGAAUCAAUUCCUCACUCCCCUAAGUGGGGGGUGCUGGCCAUCAUUUUCAUCGUGUUCUGCACGGCCCUGGGGAACCUUUUGGUGUGCCUAGCGGUGAUCUGGGACCGACGCCUACAGAACAUGACCAACUAUUUCCUAAUGUCGCUGGCGAUAGCCGAUUUCUUGGUCUCGAUUUUGGUGAUGCCGUUUGGAAUGAUAGUCGAACUCUUUGGGGACUUCCCGUUGCGUCCGGAGUUCUGUAUUUUCUGGGUCACCAUGGAUGUUCUGAUGUGUACAGCCUCCAUUUGGCAUAUGUGUACCAUGUCCAUGGACCGCUACUUUACGCUCAAAUACCCAAUGAAAUACGGCCGAAACAAGACCAAAAUGACGGUUGCUCUGAAGAUUCUGUUUGUAUGGCUAGUAUCCAUCACCAUAAGUAGUCCCAUCUGUGUUUACGGAAUAAGCGACACAAACUCAGUUUUCAACCAUGGACAGUGCGUUCCGGCCAUUCGUGACUUUGUCAUCUAUGGUUCAAUAUUUGCUUUCUACAUUCCCUUGACUAUCAUGCUGAUAACCUAUAUUCUAACCAUCAGGAUUCUCUGGAAAAACCAGAAGCUCAUGAAAACUAUUGACAGAUCCGAUUUAAAAAGCCCUCCAGAAACACAGCGAAAAGUGCGAGCUAAAAACACUUUUAUGUCCACCAUCAGACGACAAAGAUAAAAGUAAUGCAUUAAGUGAUAGUGACCCAUCCGUGCUGGGAACGCUACUGAAUACCCCAAAAUGUGACAGUAGUCUGCAAAGUCAGACCACACUCUUACCCAAUGGAGGACCAUGUUCCUUACCAAAUCCUUCCGCAAGCCAGAAGUUUCAUUCUAAAUAUAGCAUUAUGUGUGUGGAUAAUGUCAAAGAACAAAAUGAACUGGACAUGGUUCAAAUUAAACCAUUCUAAUCCUGUUGUGAGACUACGAAUGGAAGAAAAAUCGCCCGCUGAAGGGGAUUCAAAACUAGAUCAAAAAGCCUCGUCUAUGUUGUGUCUAAAAACUCUGGCCGAUCAAGAACCUUCAUCGUACAGUUCAGUUUGCAGAAAACCUCAAAGGUCUUAUCCUCUGAUGUCUGGUCGCGGAGACAAUUUCUUGCGCAUAAAUUCGAACGAUUCGUUAGUGAAACGGUCACUGGGGAAGGCUUCUGUGUCGGUACACCAAGCAGUGUCAUGCUCAACCGUUAAUACUUCUAACUCCAUCAUAUCAAACCUCGUCCCUUGUUCGGGCAACAGCCAUUUCCACAGCUGUAGCGACAUUGGGAAAAAGGACCUCAAACUUGUGGAAUGGAAGGAAAAUUAUUCCAAAAUCCAGAAAGAAAUGGAUCAAAUUCUAAAAGGCGACUUUGACAAAGACGAUUUUGUGUGCAACAGAUCUCAUUUUCUUGCUCAAGUUCAAAGUUCAAAACUCACUCCCUCAGGAUCUGAAGAGUCUGUUUGGAGCAAAGAAAUUCAUGAAGAGCCAAAGAUUGACGAUUCCCAUCAAAAUUCAGCAGAUGACAGAGAUAAUAAGGGACUAAUUGUGAAGCAUUUGCAACAAAUUAGUGACAACAGUGAAAAACAUGCUUGUGAUGAUGAUGACUCAUGCAUUGAUGAGUUAACGCGCAGCGACUGUCAAUUAAUUCCCAGAACCGAGGCAUCGCAACAAUUCACGAUGGCUAUCAACAACAACAACCAUCACACAGCAUUCUCAAAAUGUGUUACGGAAACCAGUCUCCUUAAUGUUCAACAUGUUACGUCACAUGGAAUGACACUUAUCUUGUCCUUGCGGAAGUCGCAAAAUGUCGCAGUCCAGUAUUGACAUCAGCACAUGCAGUCGUCAUUCCACAUGCUCUAUCUGAAUCAGGUGAUUCGUUAAAUGACCCCUCGGAAACGUCUGAGAGCUCGGAAUGCCUGACCAUAAAACUUCGGCCCGACACCCUACACAUGUGUUCUAUUCCUAAUCAAAAAUCGUCCAGUCCCUCCACUCCGCUUCUUGGUUCCCGUGGUCGACUCUAUAAUGGCUCCAGUCGUCAGCUCUGUAAUGGGACAAGUAAGCAUCACAGUUCAUCGGGCCAUGAACUAAACAACGGGGUGCUGAAGACUCAUACCAUUCACCGCCUGCUCUCCAGGCUGAACAAGUCUCAGAGAAUGAUGCCUGUUAUGUCCAAGCGAGCCACCACCAACGAACGCAAGGCCUCUAAGGUGCUAGGAAUCAUAUUCGCCGUCUUCGUAAUACUCUGGACACCGUUUUUUACGGUGAAUAUUCUCUCAGUGACCGUGUGAGCACUGCAUGCAGAACGUGACACCUGAACUGAUGUCAGUGUUUGUGUGGAUGGGAUACACGGCUUCGCUGGCGAACCCGAUCAUAUACACAAUGUUUAACACUGCAUUCCGCCGUGCAUUCAUUCGCAUCCUGAAAUGUCACAUCUGCAUCAACGGUUCUCUUCGGGCCGCUGAUCGGAGCACGGUUAUGAGUUACCCCAUGUCGUAUACCGAGAGAAAGCGAUACUGUGGACAAGUUUCAAUGAAUCAUCAUUCUCCCUUGUAACUUCUGCCACGUAAAUUUUUUGACUCCAUUUAUGUGAGUUUUUCUAAAACCUCAAACCCAACCUACCUUUUUGAAUGUAUUUCUUCAAAUUCAAAUCAUUUACAAUUUUUAUAAUCAAAAUAUGGAGGAGAAAAAAUCAAUGUGUUAAGUAGUAUGUAUGAAUUUUUUUAGUAAAAAAAAUUACAAAACAAUGAGUGUUUGAAUUGUAUAUGUAUGUGCUGGUUUUAAUAUAAUGUGAAAUCAUUUUAUGACUGCAAACAGCCAUAAGAUUAAUGCUUUAUUUACCAAUGACAUCAAACCUCUGGAUGAUAAAUUUCACAUGUUGUCUUUAACUUACACUUAUACGUUCAAUAAAUGUUGAAUUU